rnacentral:tRNA from 2 species
GGCCCUGUGGUGCAGUGGUAGCACGUUGGCCUCCUAUAUGUUUUCUUGCUUAUAUCUAGCCAAGGGUCUAGGGUUCGAUCCCCUACAGGGUCG